GUGCAGUGUUGGAAGACUUUGCCGUACACAGUUAAAAAGCAUCGGGCUUGAAAUCUCAGGUUGUUUCCAGUGAGGGCGGUUUCAGUCAACAAGCAAACCAUGAAUUAUCCCUGGAACAGGUUUGAAGCCAAAAGGAUAAAGUGCAAGACUGAACGUUUAUCUUCCCAAUGUUCACUGCCUGUCAUUGCUUUGAUCAAAAUUUAAACAAAGUUGAAUUAUUUUAUCUUCAGUACAUGUGUACUUUCUGAUGAGAAACAUAAUUUCGAUUUGAGUUGCUUCAAUAAAAUAAAAAAAAGUAUAAGUAUCUGAGCUUGUUUUCUGUAUGUGAAUU